GGGACCGUACCGUAAACCGACACUGGUGGGUGAGCAGAUAAUCUGCCAAGGCGCUUGAGAGAACUCGGGUUAAGGAACUCUGCAAAUUGAUACCGUAACUUCGGAAGAAGGUAUGCCUUCGACGGUGUAGGGAUUUACUCCCGAAGCUGUUGAAGGUCGCAGGUAAUCGGUGGCUGCGACUGUUUAUCAAAAACACAGGACUCUGCGAACACGCAAGUGGAAGUAUAGGGUCUGACGCCUGCCCGGUGCCGGAAGGUUAAUUGAUGGGGUUAGCCGCAAGGCGAAGCUCUUGAUCGAAGCCCCGGUAAACGGCGGCCGUAACGAUAACGGUCCUAAGGUAGCGAAAUUCCUUGUCGGGUAAGUUCCGACCUGCACGAAUGGCGUAACGCUGGCCACACUGUCUCGACCCGAGACUCAGUGAAGUUGAAAUCGCUGUGAAGAUGCGGCGUUCCCGCGGCAAGACGGAAAGACCCCGUGAACCUUCACUACAGCUUUACACUGAACUUUGAACCUUUCUGUGUAGGAUAGGUGGGAGGCUAUGAAACUUGGGCGCUAGCUCGAGUGGAGCCAACCUUGAAAUACCACCCUGGGAUGUUUGAAGUUCUAACCUUGGUCCGUAAUCCGGAUUGGGGACAGUGUAUGGUGGGUAGUUUGACUGGGGCGGUCUCCUCCCAAAGAGUAACGGAGGAGUGCAAUGGUACGCUCAGCGCGGUCGGUCAUCGCGCUCUAGAGUGCAAAGGCAUAAGCGUGCUUAACUGUGAGACAGACACGUCGAACAGGUACGAAAGUAGGUCUUAGUGAUCCGGUGGUUCUGUAUGGAAGGGCCAUCGCUCAACGGAUAAAAGGUACUCCGGGGAUAACAGGCUUAUUCCUCCCAAGAGUCCACAUCGACGGAGGAGUUUGGCACCUCGAUGUCGGCUCAUCACAUCCUGGGGCUGUAGCAGGUCCCAAGGGUAUGGCUGUUCGCCAUUUAAAGUGGUACGCGAGCUGGGUUCAGAACGUCGUGAGACAGUUCGGUCCCUAUCUGCCGUGGGCGUUGGAAACUUGAGGGUGAGCUGUCCUUAGUACGAGAGGACCGGGAUGGACGUAUCUCUGGUGUUCCGGUUGUCACGCCAGUGGCACUGCCGGGUAGCUAUAUACGGACGGGAUAAGCGCUGAAAGCAUCUAAGCGCGAAGCCCCCCCCAAGAUUAGGUUUCCCUGGGAACUCGAUUCCCCUAAAGGGCCGUCGGAGACUACGACGUUGAUAGGCUGGGUGUGUAAGUGCAGCAAUGCAUUGAGCUAACCAGUACUAAUUGCCCGUGAGGCUUGAUC
rnacentral:rRNA from 1 species